rnacentral:lncRNA from 1 species
UUUUUUUUUUUUUUUUUUUUUUUUUUUGGACCUUUUUUAUUCUCCUUUAGCGACACCUUCUUGAAUCCUGGCAAGCAGGCUGCCAAGCAACGUUGCCAAAGAUGAAUAUUCAUAAAUAGAAAGAGAGAAAGGAAAGAAUGAUGAUGUGGUCAGGCCAUGGAUUCACUUUAAAACUUGGGAAUGAAUAAGGAAGGAGAAAAACAAAAAAGAUGAGCUUUCAGUACCUUGGGCAUAAGGGUCAAAUUGUGUUGUUUUCAUAAUCUGGAAAAGAAGUCUCUUAAUUUUAGCAUAAGUGCCUCCAAGCCCAUCACCUCUGCUUCUGGAUCUGAAAAAGGGCUGAGGCACUGAAUGAGGAGGGAGCAUGUUAAAUAUGAGAGCUUCCUCUAAUGCUGAAGGCCAAUGGGAUUGCAAGAUGCAGCUGACCAGUCAAGGCCUUCACGCCCGUCUCCAAAGUAAUAGUUUAGAGAUCUGAGUUCAAUGGAUAUUCAAUAUGUCAGGUGAGUGGAAUGAAUGAGUGAUGAAUAAAUGAAUGAAUGCCACAGACAACUCAAAUCCAGACUGUCUCCUCCCCCAACUAAUGUUUACCCAAUGACAUAAAAGUAUUCUCAAAUCCCCUUUCCCAGCUUUUGUUUCGCAAUAUCCGCUCAGCUCUUGAAUGAAACUUUCAAAUGGAUGUCAGUAGAUACCAAGAAAAGGCAUCGAAAAAUAUUAAGCAGGAGAGCAGAGAUGUGACACGAUUGACCAGAUGCCGGGCGUGUAAUAGGACCAGGCCAGGGGGCACGUGUCAAGGCUGGGAAGAAGAAUGAACAACCAAUCUGAGUAAGAUGCGAAUUGCUGUGAUCCUUUUAUGGCGUUCGUGGAGGGUGUUAAGAACUCUGGGGGCAGGUCUGUGCAACGCAAUUGAAGGAGCUGGGGCUCCGAGGGUCUGGAUUCGCACUUGACCACUCAUGAAACAGAAAACCUCAGUUUCCUCACCUAUAAAAUAUGGAAACAAACAAGGCUGUCGGGUGAAUGGGGUGAAGUAAAACACAAAUACGGAGCCUGCUGCAAAGAGACGCUCAGUGGAUGGUGGAUACUAUGGGGCCAACAGAGUGAGGACGAAGCAAUAGGCUGAAGAGCCCAGUAGAUCCAGGUCACGGUGCAGGAGAGACACGGUCUGUGGCCAUCGAGUGAUGAGUGAUGACAUUGAAGCCAAUAAGAGAAAGAGAGGAAAGAUCUAUUAACUCAGGGGACAUAGGAAGUGAAAAAGUACCCAGGACGGGAAGAGUGUAUUCCGGAUGACUUCUAGGAUGCUGGCUUAGCCCGAGGAAAGGUCCCUCUGACGGCCACCGUGGCCCCAGGGCCAGGACCAUCUGGGUGCAAAUUGUGAAAUCCUCGACGUCUGUCCUUGCCGGUACUGUCUUCCUGGUCCAUGUUUGUUCUAAGUCCCAAUUUUGCCCUUAUUCCCAGAAGCCAGCAAUUUCACACUGUCUCCCUCCUUCCUCCCUGACAUAAAAACCACUGUCCACACAGUCAUUCGUUCACCUCUGCCAAAACAUAGAGGACAGGUGACAAUUUAAAAUAGAAACCCACCCCACAGUUAUUUGACUUUGGAAGCUGAUUAAACACGAGAGUUGAUUUGACCAACAAUUUUGGAACUUUAGUUUGUUCCAAGUAUUGAGACAGGCACGGAGAAGCAGAGAGAAAUUCUUGGUCCCUUAAUAACAUGACGUGGAGGAAAGGAAUCCUCUUACACUGUUAGUGGGAAUGUAAAUUGGUGCAGCCACUGUGGAGAACAAUAUGGAGCUUUCUUAAAAACUAAAAUAGAGCCACCAUAUAUGAUCCAGCAAUCUCACUCCUGGGCAUCUAUCCUUAGAAAACCAUAAUUCAAAAAAUACACGUACCUCCAUGUUCAUUGCAGCACUAUUUACAACAGCCAAGACAUGGAAGGAACCUAAAUGUCCACCGACAGAAGAAUGGAUAAAGAAAAUGUGGCACAUAUACACAAGGAAAUACGACUCAGCCAUAAAAAAGAACAAAAUAAUGCCAUUUGCAGUAACAUGGAUGGACCUAGAGAUGAUCAAACUAAGUGAAAUAAUUCAAACACAAAUAUCACAUGGUAUCACUUAUAUGUGGAAUCUAAAAAAAUUAUACCAAUGAAUUUAUAUACAAAAUAGAAAUAGACUCACGGACAUAGAAAACAAACUUAUGGUUACCAAAGAGGGAAAUGGAGGGAAGGAUAAAUUAAGAGCUUGAGAUUAACAUAAAAAUACCACUAUAUAUAAAAUAGAUCACCAGCAAGGACCUGCUGUACAGCCUAGGGGACUAUUUUCAAUAUUUUGUGAUAACCUAUAAGAGAAAAUAAUCUGAAAAAAUCUAUAUAUGUAUGUAGAAAUGAAUGACUUUGCUGUACACCUAAAACAACCUCGUAAAUCAACUAUACUUCAAUAAAAACAAUAAAAAAUAAUUUAAAAAAACCUUUAAAAAAUAAACACUCUAUGCUCAGGGCUGGGGGGUGGAGAUAAAUUGGGAGUAUGGGAUUAACAGAUGCCCACUACCAUAUAUAAAAGAGCUAAACAACAAAUAUUUACUGUAUAGCACAGAGAACAAUACAGUAAUAUCUUAUAAUAAACUAUAAAAAACUAUAAUCUAAUACAUUACAAUGGCUGGGAGUCUGGGGUUCAUAGAUGCAAACGAUUAUAUUUGGAGUGGAUAAGCAAUGAGAUCCUGCUAUAUAGCACAGGGAACUAUAUCCAGUCACUUGUGAUGGAACAUAACAGAGGAUAAUAGAAAAACAAUAUGUGUGUGUGUGUGUGUGUGUGUGUGUGUGUGUGUGUGUGUGUGUGUGUGUGUGUGUGUGUGAGUUAAGGUGGGGGAGGCAGGUAUCAAGGCGUCAGACUUUUUUUUGGGGGGGGAGAUGGUUCUGUGUUUAUGUACCCCUGUCUACUGCAUGACAUUCCUUAGCACCUGCAAAAGGCAUCUUUUCUUCAGGGAAAAAUCCAACAGAAAUACUAUGGAGUAGAAUAGAACCAAUUUCCCAAGUGUUUCUGGGAAAUUCAAAUACACAGAGUAGCCUUAGCCAUCCAGGGUGUUAGGCGACCUAUCCUUCCUUCUGGGGGAAGGCCAUGCCCGAUUCCUACAAAAUUCCCUCUCAGACAAAGUUAUAUCUUAAAGUCUGAGCUCUUAGAAGGCUGAGAAUGAAUAACUGUAUUAUUUAUGCAUAGAUGCAGAUAAGGAGAUAAUAAAUGCAUAGAAGCUGGCAUAAGCCUACUUAGAGGGAGGCACUCAACUUUUUAAUAGCGGUGAGGGAACCUUCAUUUUAGAGACAAGCACUUUAGUAAAAAGAAGCGUUUCUCAGAAUUUCCAUUAUCCUAUCACUUUUGCAAAUCUACCUUUUAACCUCCGAAGCCUUGGGAGAUGAAUCUUCAUAUUUGAACAUUAGCUUUUUUCUAUUAAAACCAAUCCUCUCGGAAAAAAAAAAAAAAGUAGGCUUUUGGGUUAAUUAAUUGGAAAGUGGGUUUUUCUUUUUUUCUUUUCCAUUUCAAGUGUUAAUCAUUCCGAAGGGGCUGUUUAACUCAGAAUCACUGUCAGCUUACUCAUAGCCCAUCCCACUCUCAGGAGGGCAGGGGCUCUCAGGGAGCCUUAGAGGGUUUAGAUUUAACUCUUCUACUCACCCCCAUCGGUUUUUUUCAGUGUGCCUAAGGAUCCUCUGGGUACUUGUCCAAAUGCAGAUUCCCAGGGCCCUCCCCCCUGGGGAAAUCUGAAGCGUCUUAGCCAGGGACCAGACUUGCAUUUUUUUAACACCUUCUCUCCCCGCCCAUCCCCGCUGCAGGUGACGGCUGCAGGACCCCCUCGGCAGACACAAGGGGAUGUGUGCUAUAGAGAAGCCCUUGGAUCUUGGUUUAAUCAAAGGAGGAAGAUCAGACGCCCUUGGAGCCCGGGCCACUUCCUCCAUGUCCCACUUCCCUUCAGGUCCCAUGUCCCGUUGCCACAACCUCGCCUUCCUGCCCCUCAACUAUGGACCUAAAAGACAUCCUACUUAUCAUGAGAAAGUUGACCCUCCCACUUUGUCAAAGCCCCUCUCCACAAUCUCAGAGACACAGUUCCACUCACAACCAGUCCCAGCCAGCAACUACUGUGAAUUCUUGAGAGCACUGCUAAAAUUGUCUGAGUCCAAAGCUUCCUCUAUUCUUACUUUUUCACUUAAUACCUGGAAAGAUUUGAUUUGGCUUGUCCAUUAAAAUGCUACCAUGUCUCCCAUUUUUUUCUGUUUUUCCUCUUUGUCUAUUUGUAACUUGGAGGCUGUCCCAUUUCCAAAAAUCAGAAAAUAGCAGUCAUUUCCAGCUGCCAAUGCAAAAGUAAUUAUUAGCCUGACUGCCAUGCAGCUGGUCCUACAGACAGAGUGACCUCUGAGUGGCCCAGUGGAGGGUCCUGACUUCCCAAAAUCUGAGAAUAGGUCUUCCCAUUCUCCUCACGCUGGCAAUUAAUAUUUUUAAAUGCCUGGUACCCCUGAAACCACACACAGGCAGAUAAACAGAAAGCCAAGUUGAAGCAAACAGUGUCAUUUUACAAAUGGGAAAAAAGGGCUUUGCAGGGAGUUCCCUGGUGGCUCAGUGGGUUCAGGAUCUGGCGUUGUCACUACAUGGGCUCAGGUCGCUGCAGUGCGUGACCCUGUUGGAUCCCUGGCCUGGGAACUUCCACAUGCCUCAGGAGCAGCCAGAAAAAACAAACAAACAAACAACUGCUUUGCAUACAUUCUAGCCUAGUCGCAGAGUUCGUGACAGGUCUGAAAGAGAGACCCAAGUCCAGUGGGUGGGGUCCACCUGGCUGCAUUCACUUCAUUUCAUCAUUGGGUGAUGCCUUCCAAGGACACACAUCGACACUUGUCCACUAGUUGGGGCCUGGUGGGGUGACAAAGGUGAGCCACAGACAGACCUUGUCUUCUGGGCUGGACAGGGAGGGAAAGAAUACUCUGGUAAGUGCCAUGAAAGAGCUACAGAAUCACAGGAGAAACAAACAAACAGACAAAAAACUAAGGAGUUCUUCUCUUUAGGAAACGGGAGAGACUCCGUCUGAGCUGGUUCCCCCAGCCUGAGGUUUCAGUAUCUAACUGACCCUGGAGAAGAGUGAUUCUGGAAGAAACGACAGAAGGGCAAAGGGCAGGGGGAGAGGGUGCCCCCUCCAGCCCUGGGUCUUUGGGAGCAAAGAGGCCAGCAUCUCCAGGUGGAAAGCCUGGACCAGGUAAAGGGCAGGAGGCGGGCUCUGCGGAGGGCUAGGAUUACAGGUGGGCUGCCAAAGCCGCAGGACCGUGCGACAGAGAGGAAAGGCAGGUCCUCAGGAAUGUGCCCCAUUUCCCCUGGCUCCUUGGGGACUCCAGGCACUCUAACAAGAGACGUGUCGCCUGCCAGCCAGCAGAUGUGGCCCAUGAAUAAACAUCGCCGCGGGGCCGGGGCUGGGGAGGGGGGGGGGGCGGGAAUAAUAAAUAUGAAGAAAGUGGUGGCCUGGCCCUCCGGGUCCCCCUCCCCUGCUCCCAGGGCGGCAGACACGCUCGCUCGCCCGAAGGGGCGGACUCAGACGGCCUCACUCCGCGGCCGCACAUUAAUCCGGGUGGAUUUGGCCAUCUUGUGACACAGCCAAUCAGUUCGAGGGAGGGGACGGCAGGAACGCCUCUCCUUUCACGCCACAAAAGGAUUUUCGUCCCUUGAGAGCACAAUGAAAAAAAAAAAAAAAAAAAAAAAGAAAAA